CUCUCUCACCCAACAGACUUGUUUUUUUUUCUCUCCUCUCAACUUUUCCUUUUCUCCUCACAUUUGAUAGACCCUUCUCUCGAUGGACAAACCCUCAUCUCUCUAGAUGGCAAAUGAUGGAAACUCCACACAAUCUCGACGGAUCUCAUGAUGGUUCAAGUUUUCAAUCUUCCAUGAGGACAUUGCACUUCCUCCAUCAACGUCGUUGUUAUCACCCUUCCCAAAACACUUGUUUGGUUGAUGUUCAUUAUCGACAACUAGGGUAAAAAAUACUUGUUGGUUGUUGGUUGCAUGAUAAUGGAUUUUGAUACAGGGGAUUUUUAGACAGCUUUCUGAAUGGAAUGUAAUGUAAUGGAAUGUGGCAUUGAUUUUUAGACAACUUUCUUAAACGGAUUAAUGGAAUUUUUUGUAUUACAUAUAUAUUCAUGUAAUGUAAUAGAAUGUGGCAUUGAUCUUGAGAUAGCUUUCGGAAAUGUGUAGAUGGAAUUUUUUGUAUUACAUAUAUAUUCAUGUCAUGUAAUGAAAUGACAUGAUUUUGACACAUGGAAUUUGUAUUGUAGACAAUUUUCUGUAUAUUGAACCAGUUUGAGACAAUUUUUUGAAA